rnacentral:rRNA from 1 species
CAUGAAGUCGGAAUUGCUAGUAAUCGCGGAUCAGCAUGCCGCGGUGAAUACGUUCCCGGGCCCUUGUACACACCGCCCGUCACACCAUGGGAGCCGGUAAUACCCGAAGUCAGUAGUCCAACCUCGUGAGGACGCUGCCGAAGGUAGGAUUGGCGACUGGGGUGAAGUCGUAACAAGGUAGC